rnacentral:rRNA from 1 species
AGAGAAUAAAAGAUAUAUUAUUUUAAGGAUCUUAAACUAAUACUUAAUGAGAUAAAAGGGAUAAAGAAUAUCCGAUCUUAUCAUGAAAAUGAGGUUAAGAAAGAUAGUGAAGUGAAACAUCUGAGUAGCUAUUAAUAAAAGAAACCAACAGGGAUUAUAUAAGUAACGGUGAGUGAAAGUAUAAAAGUCUGAAAGUAAUAUUAAAAAGUAUGAAAAGAGUAGUGUCUACUACUAAGACUAAAUAUAAGUAUUAAGUGGAAAGUACCGUGAGGGAAAGAGAGAAAAUAGAGUAAUAAAGAGCAGUUAUAGUAUAACGUACCUCUUGUAUAAUGGGCCAGUGAGUUAUAUACAUUAGCGAAAUAAAUAAAUUAUAAAUAAAUUAAGUUGUAACAAUCUUAAGUUAAUGUGUAUAGGCCCGAAAGCAAACGAUCUACACACUUCCAAGAAUAUAAAAUAUAUAUUUUAUAUGUCUGAAUAGGUAGAUGUUGCAAUAUCUUCUAAAGAGGAGUGUGUUGUAGUGAAAGGCAAAUCUGGUUUGCAGAUAGCUGGUUUUCUGCGAAAUAUAUAUUAGUAUAGCCUUUACUUCAAUUAUUAACUGGUACAGCACUUAAUUCUUUAUGGGGGAUUAUAUUCUAAUUUUACCAUAAGUAUUAAACCUCGGAAACAGUAAACCAUUAAGUAAGGAGUCAGACUUAUUGCGAUAAGGUAGUAAGUCUAAUAGGAAACAACCUAGACUAUUUAAAUGUAUGUCCCUAAGUAUAUAUUAAGUGAACAUAAUCUUUGUUUUUAUAUUUUAUUAAAUAAAAUAUAGUGAAUCAUAUUUAUAUAAAUAUAAAUAUGUACGUAAGACAAUCAGUCAGCGGGUUUGACAAUAAUCAUCUGUUAAUGGACAUGUAACAAUGCACUGAUUUGACAUUUAACUUAGAGAAAAUAUACGGGUCUAAAUAUAUGACAGUAAUAAUAGAUAUAACUUAUAAUAAUAAGUUAUAUGGUAGCAGAAUAUAUAAUGAAAAUAAAUUAAAUAAAUAAAAUUAUAUAGAAUAUGCUGGCUUGAGUAACGAAAGGUAAUAAAAAAUUACCCUCUAAAUUCAUAAGGUUUUACAAUAAACGAACGGUCCCUAAGAUAAAGUAUACAGAAAUGUAAAUAUUGAUGGGUGUUAAUACAAGAAAAUUAAAUGAACCGUACUGUAAACCGACACAGGUAUGAAAUAAAAGAGAAUGAGAUAACUAUGGUGAAUGAACUCGGCAAAUUAACAUAAAGUUUUUAGUCGUGCGACUGUUUACCAAAAACACAGCUUAUUGCGUUUUAGUAAUAAUAAGUAUAAUAAGUGAUAUCUGCCCGGUGUUUGCUUUAUAAUUUAAAUAUAUUUUUUGUAUAUUUUUAUAAAUAGCUUAUUAACGGCGGUCUUAUUGUGAGGAUCCGAAGGUAGCGAAAUUCAUUGACGCAUAAUUGGUGUCCCGCAUGAAUGAAUACACGAUGCGACAACUGUAUCCAUCAUAGUCUCAGUGAAAUAGCAUUCGCGGUGAAGAUGCCGUGUUGCCGUAGAUUGACGAAAAGACCCUAUGCAGCUUUACUAUAUCCUUUCUUUGAUUUUAUAUAUAUAAUAUAUAUAUAAUAUUUUAUUCUUUAUUAUUUCAGUAUAUUAGGUUUUUAAUUCUUAUACAAAUGAGAUACCUAUAUUUUAAAUUAUAAUAUCUUAUCUUUCUUUCUUAUUUAUUAUAUAUAUAUAACUUACAUAAGUUAUAUAUUAAAUAAGAUAAAUUGAGACAGAGAAUGGUGGUUAGUUUCGAUGGGGCGUCGACAUCAGCGAAAGCAUCUGAUGUGUCUAUCUAAUAAUUUAUACUUUAGACUUAGUCUGAUGUAUAAAUAAAUAUUUAUAUAUUUAUAUAUAUAAUAGUAAACCAACGUACAAUGAUUCUAUAUGGCAAAUAGAUAAUAAUGUAAGGAUAACAACAUAAUUGUGCGAUGAUAAUAACACUAACAAGUGGAAUUAGUACUUAAGUAGAGUGUAGUGAACAGGCAUAAUCUAUAGAUAAGGAUGUCGAUAACGGAUUAAAGUUACGCUAGGGAUAACAGGGUAAUACCGCGUGAGAGUUGAUAUCGUCAGCGGUGUUUGCCACCUCGAUGUCGUCUAGACUCGUCCUCCUGGUCGCAGCAGCUAGGUAGGGUAGGACUGUUCGUCCUCUAAGGAGUUACUUGAGAUGGGUUAAUUACGACGUGAGUCAGUAAUGAUUCUAUCAUCUAUGGCUAUUUCUCUUAUUCGUU